UACGUAGGUGGCAAGCGUUGUCCGGAUUUACUGGGCGUAAAGAGCGCGCAGGCGGCUGGGCAAGUCCGAUGUGAAAGCUUCCGGCUUAACUGGAAAAUUGCAUCGGAAACUGCUCGGCUUGAAGGUCGGAGAGGGUAGCGGAAUUCCCGGUGUAGUGGUGAAAUGCGUAGAUAUCGGGAGGAACACCAGUGGCGAAGGCGGCUACCUGGCCCACUCUUGACGCUGAGGCGCGAAAGCUAGGGGAGCAAACGGG
rnacentral:rRNA from 1 species